GAUGAACGCUGGCGGCGUGCCUAACACAUGCAAGUCGAACGGAAAGGCCCUGCUUUUGUGGGGUGCUCGAGUGGCGAACGGGUGUGUAACACGUGAGUAUCCUGCCCUUGACUUUGUGAUAACUUCAGGAAACUGCGGCUAAUACCGGAUAGGAGCUCCUGCUGCAUGGUGGUCGUUGGAAAGUUUCGGCGGUUGUGGAUGGACUCGCGGGUUAUCAGCUUGUUGGUGGGGUAGUGGCUUACCAAGGCUUCGACGGGUAGCCGGCCUGAGAGGGUGACCGGCGACAAUGGGACUGAGAGAGGGACCAGACGCGAACGGGAGGCAGCAGGGGGAAAUAUUGCACAAUGGGCGGAAGCCUGAUGAAGAAACGCCGCGAGCGGGAAGAAGGCCUUCGGGGGGUAAACCGCAUUCGCCUGUGACGAAGCGUGAGUGACGGUAAUGGGUAAAGAAGCACCGGCUAACUACGUG
rnacentral:rRNA from 1 species